CGCUUAUCGGUGAUGUCACAAAUGUCUGAACUUAUGAAUGGCAUACUGAUUUUGACGUUUAACUGAGAUAAGCU
ensembl:snoRNA SNORD72 small nucleolar RNA, C/D box 72